CGCAGCCGCGGUAAUUCCAGCUCCAAUAGCGUAUAUUAAAGUUGUUGCAGUUAAAAAGCUCGUAGUUGAAUUUCGGAGUUCUACCGUUGGUCAGGCUAACAAGUCUGUACUGGUGUGUAGAAUUUCUACCUUCUGGGGAACCAUCAUGUUAUUAAUUUAGCGUGGUGGGAAACCAGGACCUUUACCUUGAAAAAAUUAGAGUGUUCAAAGCAGGCUUACGUCUGAAUACAUUAGCAUGGAAUAAUAAAAUAGGACGGUGGUCCUGUUUUGUUGGUUUCUGAAUCACCGUAAUGAUUAAUAGGGAUAGUUGGGGGCAUUAGUAUUCAAUUGUCAGAGGUGAAAUUCUUGGAUUUAUUGAAGACUAACUUCUGCGAAAGCAUUUGCCAAGGAUGUUUUCAUUAAUCAAGAACGAAAGUUAGGGGAUCGAAGACGAUCAGAUACCGUCGUAGUCUUAACCAUAAACUAUGCCGACUAGGGAUCGGACGAUGUUAAAUUUAUGACUUGUUCGGCGCCUUACGGG
rnacentral:rRNA from 1 species